rnacentral:rRNA from 1 species
ACGGAGUUAGCCGAUGCUUAUUCCUCAGGUACCGUCAAAAUUCUUCCCUGAGAAAAGAGGUUUACAAUCCAAGAACCUUCCUCCCUCACGCGGUAUUGCUCCGUCAGGCUUUCGCCCAUUGCGGAAAAUUCCC